CCUACGGGAGGCAGCAGUAGGGAAUAUUGGGCAAUGGGCGAGAGCCUGACCCAGCCAUGCCGCGUGCAGGAAGAAGGCUUUCUGAGUCGUAAACUGCUUUUGACAGGGAAGAAUAAGCACUACGUGUAGUGCGAUGACGGUACCUGCAGAAUAAGCACCGGCUAACUCCGUGCCAGCAGCCGCGGUAAU
rnacentral:rRNA from 1 species